CCUGACGAUGCGACGCCGCGUGGGGGAUGAAGGUCUUCGGAUUGUAAACUCCUGUUCUACAAGAAGAACGAGCAGUUAGUGAUAAGCUAACUGCUGUGACUGUAUUGUAGCAGCAAGCCCCAGCUAACUACGUGCCAGCAGCUGCGGUAAUACGUAGGGGGCAAGCGUUGUCCGGAAUUACUGGGCGUAAAGCGCACGCAGGCGGCCAUAUAAGUCGGGUAUGAAAUUGCUUGGCUUAACCAAGCAACUGUAUUCGAUACUGUGUGGCUUGAGUACGAGAGGGGAAAGUGGAAUGUACAGUGUAGCGGUGAAAUGCGUAGAGAUUGUACAGAACACCGGUAGCGAAGGCAGCUUUCUGGCUCGAUACUGACGCUGAGGUGCGAAAGUCUGGGUAGCGAACGGGAUUAGAUACCCCGGUAGUCCAGACCGUAAACGAUGGGUACUAAGUGUAGGGGAUACGACUCUUCUGUGCUGUAGCUAACGCAUUAAGUACCCCGCCUGGGGAGUACGGCCGCAAGGUUAAAACUCAAGGUAAUUGACGGGGGGCCGCACAAGCGGUGGAGCAUGUCGCUUAAUUCGAAGCAACGCGAAGAACCUUAUCCAGGGCUUGACAUAUCUCUGAUCGCCAUAGAAAUAUGGUUUUCCUUCGGGACAGAGUUACAGGUGCUGCAUGGCUGUCGUCAGCUCGUGUCGUGAGAUGUUGGGUUAAGUCCCGCAACGAGCGCAACCCUUGUCGUUAGUUGCCAUCAGGUAAUGCUGGGGACUCUAGCGAGACCGCUGGUGAAGAGCCAGAGGAAGGUGGGGAUGACGUCAAGUCCGCAUGGCCCUUAUGCCCUGGGCUGCACACGUGCUACAAUGGUCGGUACAGAGGGUUGCCAAACCGCAAGGUGGAGCGAAUCCCAGAAAGCCGGCCUCAGUUCGGAUUGGAGUCUGCAACUCGACUCCAU
rnacentral:rRNA from 1 species